UACGGAGGGUGCAAGCGUUAAUCGGAAUUACUGGGCGUAAAGCGUGCGCAGGCGGUUUGUUAAGUCUGCUGUGAAAUCCCCGAGCUCAACUUGGGAAUUGCAGUGGAUACUGGCAAGCUGGAGUACGGUAGAGGAAGGUGGAAUUCCCGGUGUAGCAGUGAAAUGCGUAGAGAUCGGGAGGAACACCGGUGGCGAAGGCGGUUCUCUGGGCCUUACCUGACGCUGAGGAGCGAAAGCGUGGGGGGCGAACAGG
rnacentral:rRNA from 1 species